rnacentral:rRNA from 1 species
AGCGAACGCUGGCGGCAGGCUUAACACAUGCCAGUCGAGCGGGCACUUCGGCGUCAGCGGCAGACGGGUGAGUAACACGUGGGAACGUACCCUUUGGUUCGGAAUAACGCUGGGAAACUAGCGCUAAUACCGGAAACGCCCUUUUGGGGAAAGGCUUGCUGCCGAAGGAUCGGCCCGCGUCUGAUUAGCUAGUUGGUGGGGUAAUGGCCUACCAAGGCGACGAUCAGUAGCUGGUCUGAGAGGAUGAUCAGCCACACUGGGACUGAGACACGGCCCAGACUCCUACGGGAGGCAGCAGUGGGGAAUAUUGGACAAUGGGCGCAAGCCUGAUCCAGCCAUGCCGCGUGAGUGAUGAAGGCCUUAGGGUUGUAAAGCUCUUUUGUCCGGGACGAUAAUGACGGUACCGGAAGAAUAAGCCCCGGCUAACUUCGUG